UGAAGCCCGGGGUCGGUCGGGGUGGGAGUUCGGCGGGUGUAGGCGUGAUCCGGGUUCACUGGGUGUAAAGGGUGCGUAGGUGUGCUAGUAAGGCCGUGUUGAAAUCCCCGAGCUUAACUUGGGAACUGCCAUUGUUACUAUUAGUCUUGAAUAUCGUGGAGGUAAGCUGAAUAUGUCAUGUAGCGGUGAAAUGCUUAGAUAUGACAUAGAACACCAAUUGCGAAGGCAGCUUGCUACACGGUCAUUGACACUGAGGCACGAAAGCGUGGGGAGCAAACAGGAUUAGAUACCCCGGUAGUC
rnacentral:rRNA from 1 species